UUAAGCGACUAAGCGUACACGGUGGAUGCCCUGGCAGUCAGAGGCGAUGAAGGACGUGCUAAUCUGCGAUAAGCGUCGGUAAGGUGAUAUGAACCGUUAUAACCGGCGAUUUCCGAAUGGGGAAACCCAGUGUGUUUCGACACACUAUCAUUAACUGAAUCCAUAGGUUAAUGAGGCGAACCGGGGGAACUGAAACAUCUAAGUACCCCGAGGAAAAGAAAUCAACCGAGAUUCCCCCAGUAGCGGCGAGCGAACGGGGAGCAGCCCAGAGCCUGAAUCAGUGUGUGUGUUAGUGGAAGCGUCUGGAAAGGCGCGCGAUACAGGGUGACAGCCCCGUACACAAAAAUGCACAUGCUGUGAGCUCGAUGAGUAGGGCGGGACACGUGGUAUCCUGUCUGAAUAUGGGGGGACCAUCCUCCAAGGCUAAAUACUCCUGACUGACCGAUAGUGAACCAGUACCGUGAGGGAAAGGCGAAAAGAACCCCGGCGAGGGGAGUGAAAAAGAACCUGAAACCGUGUACGUACAAGCAGUGGGAGCACGCUUAGGCGUGUGACUGCGUACCUUUUGUAUAAUGGGUCAGCGACUUAUAUUCUGUAGCAAGGUUAACCGAAUAGGGGAGCCGAAGGGAAACCGAGUCUUAACUGGGCGUUAAGUUGCAGGGUAUAGACCCGAAACCCGGUGAUCUAGCCAUGGGCAGGUUGAAGGUUGGGUAACACUAACUGGAGGACCGAACCGACUAAUGUUGAAAAAUUAGCGGAUGACUUGUGGCUGGGGGUGAAAGGCCAAUCAAACCGGGAGAUAGCUGGUUCUCCCCGAAAGCUAUUUAGGUAGCGCCUCGUGAAUUCAUCUCCGGGGGUAGAGCACUGUUUCGGCAAGGGGGUCAUCCCGACUUACCAACCCGAUGCAAACUGCGAAUACCGGAGAAUGUUAUCACGGGAGACACACGGCGGGUGCUAACGUCCGUCGUGAAGAGGGAAACAACCCAGACCGCCAGCUAAGGUCCCAAAGUCAUGGUUAAGUGGGAAACGAUGUGGGAAGGCCCAGACAGCCAGGAUGUUGGCUUAGAAGCAGCCAUCAUUUAAAGAAAGCGUAAUAGCUCACUGGUCGAGUCGGCCUGCGCGGAAGAUGUAACGGGGCUAAACCAUGCACCGAAGCUGCGGCAGCGACGCUUAUGCGUUGUUGGGUAGGGGAGCGUUCUGUAAGCCUGUGAAGGUGUGCUGUGAGGCAUGCUGGAGGUAUCAGAAGUGCGAAUGCUGACAUAAGUAACGAUAAAGCGGGUGAAAAGCCCGCUCGCCGGAAGACCAAGGGUUCCUGUCCAACGUUAAUCGGGGCAGGGUGAGUCGACCCCUAAGGCGAGGCCGAAAGGCGUAGUCGAUGGGAAACAGGUUAAUAUUCCUGUACUUGGUGUUACUGCGAAGGGGGGACGGAGAAGGCUAUGUUGGCCGGGCGACGGUUGUCCCGGUUUAAGCGUGUAGGCUGGUUUUCCAGGCAAAUCCGGAAAAUCAAGGCUGAGGCGUGAUGACGAGGCACUACGGUGCUGAAGCAACAAAUGCCCUGCUUCCAGGAAAAGCCUCUAAGCAUCAGGUAACAUCAAAUCGUACCCCAAACCGACACAGGUGGUCAGGUAGAGAAUACCAAGGCGCUUGAGAGAACUCGGGUGAAGGAACUAGGCAAAAUGGUGCCGUAACUUCGGGAGAAGGCACGCUGAUAUGUAGGUGAAGUCCCUCGCGGAUGGAGCUGAAAUCAGUCGAAGAUACCAGCUGGCUGCAACUGUUUAUUAAAAACACAGCACUGUGCAAACACGAAAGUGGACGUAUACGGUGUGACGCCUGCCCGGUGCCGGAAGGUUAAUUGAUGGGGUUAGCCGCAAGGCGAAGCUCUUGAUCGAAGCCCCGGUAAACGGCGGCCGUAACUAUAACGGUCCUAAGGUAGCGAAAUUCCUUGUCGGGUAAGUUCCGACCUGCACGAAUGGCGUAAUGAUGGCCAGGCUGUCUCCACCCGAGACUCAGUGAAAUUGAACUCGCUGUGAAGAUGCAGUGUACCCGCGGCAAGACGGAAAGACCCCGUGAACCUUUACUAUAGCUUGACACUGAACAUUGAGCCUUGAUGUGUAGGAUAGGUGGGAGGCUUUGAAGUGUGGACGCCAGUCUGCAUGGAGCCGACCUUGAAAUACCACCCUUUAAUGUUUGAUGUUCUAACGUUGACCCGUAAUCCGGGUUGCGGACAGUGUCUGGUGGGUAGUUUGACUGGGGCGGUCUCCUCCUAAAGAGUAACGGAGGAGCACGAAGGUUGGCUAAUCCUGGUCGGACAUCAGGAGGUUAGUGCAAUGGCAUAAGCCAGCUUGACUGCGAGCGUGACGGCGCGAGCAGGUGCGAAAGCAGGUCAUAGUGAUCCGGUGGUUCUGAAUGGAAGGGCCAUCGCUCAACGGAUAAAAGGUACUCCGGGGAUAACAGGCUGAUACCGCCCAAGAGUUCAUAUCGACGGCGGUGUUUGGCACCUCGAUGUCGGCUCAUCACAUCCUGGGGCUGAAGUAGGUCCCAAGGGUAUGGCUGUUCGCCAUUUAAAGUGGUACGCGAGCUGGGUUUAGAACGUCGUGAGACAGUUCGGUCCCUAUCUGCCGUGGGCGCUGGAGAACUGAGGGGGGCUGCUCCUAGUACGAGAGGACCGGAGUGGACGCAUCACUGGUGUUCGGGUUGUCAUGCCAAUGGCACUGCCCGGUAGCUAAAUGCGGAAGAGAUAAGUGCUGAAAGCAUCUAAGCACGAAACUUGCCCCGAGAUGAGUUCUCCCUGACUCCUUGAGAGUCCUGAAGGAACGUUGAAGACGACGACGUUGAUAGGCCGGGUGUGUAAGCGCAGCGAUGCGUUGAGCUAACCGGUACUAAUGAACCGUGAGGCUUAACCUU
rnacentral:rRNA from 3 species